GUUUUCCGUCACUCGGACCAUUUCGUACCUGCGAAAUGAAAGAUAUAGGUAUUCUAGAGCGACGCCCCCUUUAAGUGGCCCUGACAACCCCUUUGGAUUACCGUGUCAACGAGGCUACAAUGGAGAUAAUUAAGUUGUGGCAUCCAGGUAGUCCAGAUGACGCGAAGGUGCCGACCGUUGAGGGAAUUCAAAUUCGACGUAGUUGAGUCACAACUUAAAACGGCCAACCAAAUGAGCAAAGGACGUGCCACUUGAAGAUAAAGGACCACUAUUUGUUUCAUCCGAGUCGAAGAGAGCCAGGAAGCACCGACGAUAAGAUCCCCUAGAGUGACCUUUUUACAUGUCAAUACAAAAAUACGAGGACAUGUAACUUUCGUUUUGUUGUGAAGACGAAAAAGACUUGCAAGUCAGUUCCAGCACCGUCUUCCCAUCCAUUCUCUCUUGUUUUACUGACAGCAAUGAUUGCCGUCUCUGUGAAAGGAGCUAUGGGAGAUGAAAGAAGAAGUUAACAAUC